rnacentral:rRNA from 1 species
AUGGAAGCCGGGAGUACCUGAAGAUCGUGACCGCGAGGAACGGGCUAGGGUAAUACCGGUAACUGGGGCUAAGUCGUAACAAGGUAGCCGUACCGGAAGGUGCGGCUGGAACACCUCCUUUCUGGAGC